rnacentral:lncRNA from 1 species
CUCUAUUCUCAUAACAAAAAAAUCGCUAGUAUCCUUCAUCCAUCAAACAUAUCUAUCUGUUACACCAACAUCACCCUCCACCUUCUAAUCUGCCAUCGACACUCAACACCGGUGACCGUCAACCACCACCUCCACCCUCUUCACCUUCCGACCGGAACCCUAACGUCGCCGCCGCCGGCCCCUCCGUCCUUAACCCCAAUCUCCGACGGAACCAUCCACGCAUCACCGCCGCCCUCAGCCUUCCUUCCACCCACGCGACGUCCUCCACCUGCUUCGUCACCCUUCUCCGUCAUCUCCGCCACUCGCUGACCACCUCCACAUCUCCAUUGCCGGCACCGCCCUGAAUAGCACCGCCGGUCAACCACAGCCUUACUUCUCCGUCGCCGGUUCCAAUUAGGAACAACAUCAGUCGCCUUGCAUAUCACGACUCGUUUAAGUUUCAACGGUGAUGCUCUUGAUGAUUGUUGAUAAACCAACCGUCGUGGAAAUAUGAGUGAAACGAAACGAACAACUGCAACCACCUUUGUAGAUUCCUUACACACUCAUCUCCGAGCCUCGAGGACGAUGCUAUAUCUUAAGCUUGGGGAGGUGUGGAGUAAUUGCUAAGGAUUACAAUGGAUUUCUGAAAGAACUUGAGGAGUGCAUCUAAAAAGAAGGUGUUUAUUAAUGAAGAUAACUCAUUCAACAUGUGAAUUAAAUGGCUGGACUAUUCUGGUGCAAAGUCAAGAAAUAUAAAGUGAUCAUUGUGUUGCAACAAAUAAAGAUUUUUGUGGGCUGAAUUUUAGAGGUAUGGAAUUAAUAAGUCUAUAUGGGUUGGCCACGAGAGAGAAAGCAAGGACAAUUAUAAUUGGGCUAAGCAAUAUGGGCUGCCAAAAACAAGAAAAAGAGAUAAAAUAUCAUCAUAAACAAACAACCUAGACGAGAAAAUUUGGCUUUUUGGGGACGGCUGCUGCAACUCGAGAUCAAGAAAAAAGGCAUUUUCUCUUUUGUGAUUUUUGAGAACAAUUUGUUUAGUAAGUUUCGGAUGUUUUCUUUCAUAUUUGUAUUGAUUGAACUAGCCACCAUGUCCGGCUAGACUUUUAUAGUUUCGACAUCGGGGUUUAUUUUCAUUGUUUUGGUUCAUAAACUUAUGUGAAACGAUCACGUUAGAUCCAAUUAUUUUAGUGGUUUGUUUAUAUGAUUUUUGUUUU